rnacentral:rRNA from 1 species
AACGAACGCUGGCGGCAUGCCUAACACAUGCAAGUCGAACGAUCCCUUCGGGGCUAGUGGCGCACGGGUGCGUAACGCGUGGGAACGUGCCCUGUGGGUCGGAAUAACGCAGAGAAAUUUUAGCUAAUACCGGAUAAGGUCUUCGGACCAAAGAUUUAUCGCCCUUGGAUGGGCCCGCGUUGAGUUAGCUAGUUGGUAGGGUAAAGGCCUACCAAGGCGACGAUGCAUAGCGGGUGUGAGAGGAUGAUCAACCACACUGGGACUGAGACACGGCCCAGAAUCUUCCGGGAGGCAGCAGUGGGGAAUAUUGGACCAUGGGCGAAAGGAUGAUCCAGCAAUGACGCGUGAGUGAUGAAGGCCUUAGGGUUGUAAAGCCCUUUUAACCGGGAUGAUCAUGACAGUACCGGGAGAAUAAGCCCCGGCUAACUCCGUG